CGGAGAGACACACGUGUGGCAGCGCAGUGUCAACAUGGGGAAGAGGAGGCAGAACAAGCAACUUUUCACAAAUUUAUCCAAGAAGCAAAAGAAACACUUGAAGGAGUUUGGAGAGGAGCAUCCAUUUCACGAUGUUGUCAAUGAGAAACCUGAAAGAACUGAAAUAGUGGAACUGCCAGCAAGCCCUGAACAAUCUGAAGCUGAGCCUGAUGAGCUGGAAGAAGAAGAGGAUGAUGAACCAGAGCAGAAAACAGCCUACCAGAAACUUCUUUCAACUCUCAGCCAACAUGGUGGCAACGACCAGAGUGAGGAGGAGGAAAGCUCUGAUGAUGAAGAGGAAGAAGAAGAAGAGCUUCUUGGUGAAGAGGACAGCGACGGAGUGGGAGAUGACAGCGAAGAUGGUGAUGAAGACGAAGGGGGAGAGGAGGGAGUUACAGAUGCAGAUGAAGCUCGGAGUGAGGCAGUAGAAGGGGAGGAGGAGGAGGAGGAAAAGGAGAAAGGAAAUGAAGAGUUCAUAGAUAAGGAGCAUGAGUCUCAGUUCUGUCUGGAGACCAACUUUAUGGGUGAAGGAGAUCAGGAGGACUCUGAAGGCACUGCAGAGCAUGAAGACAGCAAGGACAUGUUUUUACAGCAUUUGGACACGGAGCUUGAUGAGGAGGAUGUGCAGAGAAUAACAUCUGGCAGCAAAGACAAGACUCAGAUCAGGUGGCCAAAAUUGGGCACUCUGCUCUGUACCAGUCCCCUGGAGAAGUUUGGACACAUUGGCCCUCAGAAAGACACAAGCCCCCCAGUUUUCCACAAACUCUUGGAGUCCCGCUGGAAGGAUCUAAACCAGAGCUCUGAUCCUAAGGGGGUGGCUGAAGAAAUAAGCCCUCUCCAGCUAGAGCUGCUGGCCCUCAUGGGCUCCUACAAGGACCUAUACUACUCAGAGAUGUGUCCUCUGAAUAAGGGCCCUCAGGUGCGCAGUGCAUACUGCGUCCAUGUUCUCAACCAUGUACUGAAGGCCAACUCCCAGGUCCUGGCUCACAACGCCCAGCUAAGGGAGCAGAAAAUUCAGGCUAAACCUGGAGCAGCACCACAGGAUGAACCCAGAGACCAAGGUCUGACUCGACCCAAGGUGCUGAUUCUCAUGCCGUUCCGAGGCGGAGCUCUGAGAGUCGUCCAGACGUUCAUCAGCCUGCUGGAGACCAAAGGCAAGAAGAUUGUGGUCAACAACAAGAAGAGGUUCAAGGAAGAGUUUGGGGAAGAGGCGGAUGACCAGCCGCCUAAUCUGAAGAGACCAGAUGAUUACAGCGCUGUCUUCACAGGCAAUGUUGAUGAUCACUUCAGGAUAGGUAUCUCCAUUGUGAGGAGCAGUAUGCGUCUGUAUUCCCCCUUCUACUCGUCAGACAUCAUCAUUGCAUCUCCCCUGGGCCUGCGCACAGUGCUGGGAGCUGAAGGAGAAAGUAAGAGAGACUUUGACUUCCUCUCCUCCAUCGAGCUGCUGGUGGUGGACCAGGCGGAUGUCUUCCUCAUGCAGAACUGGGAGCAUGUCCUGCAUGUGAUGAAGCACAUGAACCUGCAGCCACUGGACUCCCAUGGGGUGGACUUCUCCAGGGUGAGGAUGUGGAACCUGAACAACUGGGCCAGACACUACAGGCAGACGCUGGUGUUCAGCUCCAUCCAGGAGCCACAGAUCAACAACAUCCUUACCAAACACUGUGCCAACUACCGUGGACAGAUUUCUACUAAGAACAUACCAAAAACAGGCUCCAUCUGCCAGGUGUUGGUUCAGCUGCCUCAUGUGUUUCAGAUGUUCUCCUCUGACAGCUUCAUAGACCACGAUUCAAGGUUUCACUUCUUUGUAGAUAAAGUGCUGCCUCAGUACAGGGACUCAGUUAUGUCCCACACUCUGAUCUACAUCCCCUCUUAUUUCGACUAUGUCCGAUUGCGCAACUACAUGAAGAAAGAGGAGAUAAACUUUGCCAGCAUCUGCGAGUAUUCCAGCAAAUCCGAGGUGUCUCGAGCCAGGCAUUUCUUCCAGAAAGGGGAGAAACAGUUCCUGCUCUUUACCGAACGCUUCCAUUUCUACAAGAGGUACACCAUCAAAGGGAUCCAGAACCUGAUAUUUUAUGGAUUGCCCACCUUCCCCCACUUCUAUAGCGAGGUGUGCAACAUGCUGGCGGCAGGUGGUCAGGGUGAAGCAGCCAGCUGGACCUGCACUGCCAUCUACUCCCGCUACGAUGCACACAAACUGGCUGCCAUCAGCGGAGCCCAGAGAGCCGGACAGAUGCUGCACUCAAACAAGACCGUGCACCUCUUUGUUACAGGCGGGGAAGAUAAAACCUCCUGAUGGAGCUGGAUAGAUAAAAGAGGGACCACUGGACUAAAACCAUGGCAGAUAUCAACUGUACAUAUAAGGUCUCACCAGGAUCUGAGCCAUUACACAGGGAUGAACCUGCUCACUGAAGCCUGAUUCAGAAGUGUGUGACAAAGGAGGGAAACCACACAUAGUCUGUAGUUUUAUUUGUAUGAGUGAAAUACCAAAAUACACGUCCGUGACCAGGUAGGUGAUGUGUGAAUGCGUGAAUGUGGAUGAUUUAUAGAUUUCGGACACCAGUUUUCUCAGGUGUUCUGCUUCUCUGACAGGGCUUCAGCUCUAACCUCUGACCUCCUGAAACAAAAUAAGGGAACACAGCCAACCAGAAGAGCCAAAUAAAGAUAUGAGGCCGUCACAGUGCUCAUAGGAUCCCCUUAAAAAAGAUAAGGGAUAAAGCAAAACGGCCUCCAGUAAAUACUCAUUUGUAUGACCAACCCACAUAAUUAUUAACUCCCUGAGUUGCUGCAAGAGUGACUUUGGCCACAGAGUU